AGCAAACAGUGGCUCCAAGUUCAAAGUAUUGUUGCUCAAAUUUAAGACAAUAAAGGUUCAUUAAUUCAUGUAUUAAUUCAAUAUAUAUAUUUACAUUAGGUGCAAAGACAUAACAUUUAUUUAUUUAUUUAUUUUCCAGUACUGGGGAUCGAACUCAGGACCUUGUGCUUGCCAGGCAGUGUUUCUGGAUUCUGCAAACAUAUUUUCUAUGCAGAGGGCACCAGGAAAUAUAAGUGCCGACUCUGUAACCAAAUGGUGAGCGGGAAUUGAUGAGACAUCAUUACGGAAUACAAAAUACGUACUGUGUUUUGAUUCAGAAAGUGUUAAUUUUUUCAGAUUUCUCUCAGGCUAACUUUAUAAAUUAUGAAAAACAAAACAAACCAAAGAAUAUCAGUUUCAUCAGCUUAAGCCAUGUUACAGGUAAUUAUUGUAAAGAAUUCAUCUUUGGAGGACAAAGCCUAAGUUUAGGUCUUUCUGUGCACUGCCAGGUAGCUGCAAUGGGGUCCACAGCAGACAGGCGUGAGGACGAGCAACUUGGGCUGCUCCACUCAAAACACACUCACACUGUAAGAUGGGCUUCCCAGGCAGCACUGAACAUGACUGUAGUUUCCUUGGAGGUAGCUGGGGAUGCUUCUGAGCCAGGGAUGGGGUAGAGUUAAUUCUGGUCAGGCAAGGUCCUCCAUGGCAUUAACCAAGGAAAUUGGAAUCUUGAGCAGUUGUCUAACAAAACACAGACCUUUCACCAUGGCAUAGCAAUACCACAAGAUGGCUUUUUGUUUGUCAAUAACCUGUAAGUUAGGGACUGGGUGUGUAGCUCAGUGGUAGAGCACUUGCUUAGCCCACUUGAGUUCUUCCUACAUUUGAUCCUCUGCACUGGAACAAAAAGUAAAUAAAAAAAACAUCAAUUAGACUCUAGUAACUUGAGAGUAGAAAGGAAAACUGGUAAAACAAAUCCAUGGGAAAGAAAAGAGAACCCUUGUGCACAUGUGCAUGCAUGCAAAUACAUGCGCACACAUGUCUCUGACCAUAUCUCUCAACCACACACAGUACACAUAUGCAAAUGAAUGGUUUGAAGGCAAAGGAGAGUGGAUCAAAUAUGGAGCUCAAAAUGACUUUUCGGAACUUCAGUCAAGACUACCACCUUCUUUCUUUCAGAGAUUUAAAACGUGCAGUGAAGCGAGUCCUGCAAGCUCUGAGCAGCCAGCAGAGACCCAUUUGUAUUUGGCCAAGUGAGCAUCAGGAGGAAGAAACAUGGUCUUCUUUGGAAAGGCUAUCUUCUAGAAAUCUCAAGUGCUCCAAAAUUAGCCUGGCACAUUGGCAGAACUUCCUGCCUAUUCUGGAGGCUGGACUGGAGUCAGUGCAGUCUUUCCCAUUCCCUAGAUCUGGACGGGGACACUGGGCGGAGACAGUAGGGGUAGCUUCUUAAUGUUCUGGGGCAUUGAGUCAUGUACUUGGUAGGAGGAGCCCCUGCUGGGAUCCUGGUGUCUUUUACAAACAGGCUAUAAAACUACAUUUGAGCUCAUAAUGGCUAGGAACUAAAUGCAAUCAUUUCCUAUGGGGUUGCUAUUGUGGCUGUAUGCAAGGUCCCUUAUGUCGCUGGCAGCACUCAAACCAAGGCAGGAAUACUCUCUUCUUUCAGGUGCUGUGAAAGGAAAGAAAGCAAAGAGCCAUCACUCAGAAGAAUCUUCCCAAAGUAAGAAAAGUGUGUUAAGGAACCUGAGAGGGAAUUCAGGGGAAGGAUGACUUGUUUAUUGAGGCUGUUGGCUCAGUGUCCUGCGACCAGAAUACUGCACAGUUCUAGAGGGUUUUAGAAACAGAAUUAAUUCUGCAGACACUGCUAGGCACCUUCUGUGGGUCAGGAAAUACACUGAGUUACUGGAGAUAAAGAUGAUCCCUUUCCCAAGAUUUGGGUAAUCUAGACACGAAGAUUCUGCAGGAGAAUGUGACAAAAUAUUUAUGUCUAGGUGGUAUAAUUGCAACUAUUUUAUUGUUACUGUUACUAUUAUUAAGGUUCUGUAGCUUUGUAGAAAAGGAUAGUAUAGCUGAGUGGUUUGGGAACCCUGAUGUCUGUAAAGGGAGUGGAUGAUCAGGAAAGUAGGUGGUCAUUUAACCCUUCACAUGGUUCUUGUCUUUGCUAGGGGUGGAAAUUUGAAUUUACUUUGGGAGUAGAUUUCCUUUAAUUGCUCAUUCAGUGAUGCUAUGGGCAAGCUGAUCCUCCUCUGUGGUAAAGGAAAUAAAGGGCCUCCCUGGCCCUUCCUCCUAGUCCCCCUUUGCUAAACCACCCCAGUUCUCAGGCUUCAGUCUCUCUUCACUCUCUGGUAUCCACUGAGGGCAUUUCAACAAUUCCCUGGCUAGAUACUAUUUUUCCAUGCCAGUUUCUUCUCAGUCUGCAGGUUCAAUUUCCUUCUUGAGCCCUAGAUUUAUGUAAUCUUCCUAUACUUUUCCCCAAUAGACUCUUCUUAAAUGUACCCUUCAGGCUAUUCUCCAUCUACCAGCUAGAAUGGUGCUUAAACUGUUUUGGAGUGCUUUCAUUAAUCUAGGGACAAAAAUCCAAGAUUUCUUUCUUUUUUUAAGUACUGGAGAUUGAACCUAAGGGUCACUCAUGCCAGGCAAACUCUCUACCACAUAUCUACCAGCACUUUCUCAAAAACUUAUUUUGAGGCAGGGUUUUGCUAAAAUGCCCAGGCUAGCCUCAAACUUGAGAUCCUCCUGCCUCAGCCUCUUGAGUAGCUAGGAUUACAGGCCUGGCUUCAAAAUUAUUAACAUGCUUGCAUGACUGUGCAUGGUUGACUCUUGCUUUUUUCUCUGGCUUCAUCUCCUGUCACUCUGUCCUAAUUGUCUUUCCUUCAGAGGGGCCUGGCUCCUUCCCCACUCAGAGGCUCAAAGGCACCAUUCCCCUUAUUUGUUUGCUUGGUUUUUUGGUAUCAGGGAUCAAAUUCAGGACCUUGUACUUUCGAGGCAGGCAUGGUUCCAUUGAGCUAAAUCUCCAGCCCACCAUUCCCCUUAUUUGGAAUGAUCCCACUCCCAGGCAGGGCUGCAGGACUCUUAGAUGUUGCCUCCAUAGCCCCCAGGGUUCUGUGAACAUUUGUUGUAGCUUGAACAUUUCUAAUCUAAAAGUCUGAAAGCAGAAAUGCUUCAAGAGCCUGAUACUGUUUGAAAGCUAACAUAAUACAACUGGAAAAUUCCACACUUGACCUUAUGUGAUGGGUCCUCAAAACUUGGGCACAUUAAAAAUAUCCUGUAAAAUUACUUCAAGCCGUGGGUAUAAGAUGUAUAUGAAACAUACAUGUGUCUCAUGCUUAGAGUUGGGCCCCCUUCCCCAGGAAGUCUCAGGAAUAUGCAAAAAUUGCAAAAGCUGAAAAACCAGAAACCCCAAACACUUCUAGUCCCGAGCAUUUCAGAUAAGGGAUAUGCAACCUGUGUUAUACGCUUUACAUCAUCACAGCAUUUAUGAGAUACAAAAAUAACUAUCUGUAAGAUUGUUUACUGUCCCCCUCAGAUUGUAACAAUUAUAGAUUAUAUCCCUGCUGCCCAGCACAGGGCCAGGGGUUGAGUAGACACUCAGUACAUGGACUAUUAAAUGAGUUAAAUGAGGAUUAGGAACUAAAUUCUCUUCCUAUCAAGAUACGAAUGUUCAUUUUUACUGACAGACUCUAACUCCACAGUUCUUUUCUUGUCUAGUGGAACGGAACCAGGAGUGUAGACCAAUGAACCACCUGUGCUGUCUGCCAGGUCUGUGACAUUGCCGUCUGCCUCCAGUGGGGGCGCAGUGAGACUCCUCCCCUGUGGAGACUUGUUGCUUCUCUGCCUCCUAUCAGGGUGCCAGCUGAGGAGAGAGACAACCUGUGGAGAGUCCCGUGGACGUUUUCAUGUCUUCAGAACUAUUACUUGGUUUUAGUAUUUUUCGUUUUCCUUCUGUAAUUUCCUUCUGUCUGCCCAAAAGCCUCCAUCAGAUUUUGCUGAUCUCUCAGUCUGGUCCUAGCUGUGUGAUGAGAAGCUGGGAGAGGCGUCAUCUGCACCUCCAACAGAGGUGAAGCGGCUGGGGAGGAAUGAUAAGAGGCAGCCUGCAGCAGAGAGAUGUCAGGAACAGAACGGCUGGCUGAGGGGGACAAGUCCCUGCGGGUGGGCGGGAAGAGACUUGUGGAGAUGCUGGUAUUCACCCUGAAUGUGAAUGGAGAUUUUGGAAGAGAAAGCUGGACAGCACCCGGAUCUUCUGAAGUGACCCAGUGUACCAGUUGUCAACACAUUGUCUCUCAGCCUCAAUGUCACCCUAUACCUUCUUUGUAAAAGUGGAGCUGGGCCCCUUUAAUAACUGCUAUUGUCUGCAGGUUGGGUAGUUAGCAGGCAGAGGUCUAGAGACACCCAGGAGGACCAGUUUUCCUAGUGGCUGCUGGGCUCUUGGGCUAGGCAGGCUUCUGCAGGUGGGUAGCUUCACCAGGAGCACUUAGCCUGCAGUACCACCCUUGAGGGCUUUGGUAGUGAAGUGCUUUCAGAGGGGUAUCUUCAUGCGAACAGCUCCCUCUACACCCUAAAAAAGUAGAUGUCCAGCAAGUCCUAAAGUGGGAAUGUCCAGCUUUUUCUUUAUGGCAUGAACCAUAAAGACACCUCCGCUAUUUAGAUGGCUUGCCCACCCAAAGGGGAUCUGGACUCAGCCCCAUUGGAAGGGGAAGGGAAAGCUCACCCUGGCGUGCUUUGUCUCAACCCUAGGAAUGUGGCUCCUUAAAUCUUCUGUUUGCUAUUCCUAUUUUCUUUCGAUUUCUCUUCUUACCUAGCCUAUCCCUUCUUACUCCAAAUCCUAUUACAGUUG
ensembl:lncRNA